GCCUGGUUGGCCUAGUGGAAAAGGCGCUCGGCGCUAACCCGGGAGCGGCGCCCAUAAGCGCGUGUCCUCUAGGUUGGCGGCUCACCGAGAGACCCUGGUUCGAAUCCAGGACCGGGUA
rnacentral:tRNA from 1 species